UCACGGGUGGCCCAAUUUAACGCACCACAGUCAGGGGGCUUGCGUACACGGCUUCGUGGUGCCCACCGGCCAGGCCACCCGAUGUUUGAUGAUUGACUUAUAGACCAACUCCACUGUUCCCACCCCAGGGACACAACUCCUCUGCUCCCUUUAUGCCAGACCCCCUGAUGCCUGGCGGCUUGUUUGAAGAUCUGAGUCUUUGGGGCAGACUGAGGUCCCCGCCCACAGCCCUGGAGGGGGGUGACCUCGGGGCUCACCGCUGGUUCUGUCAGAAGACUCCAGGCACAGACCCUCCAGGGAAGUGACUGAAGCCCCAGUCGCCAAACAGACUCAAACCUCCCCCGAAAAACAUGCCGAACGCCAGAGCAGUUAAUAUGAUUUAUUAAUCUGCCAGGAACUUUUCAAGAUUUUAAUGUGGUGUUUAGAGUCUAUUUAACAGGGUAACAAAAGCCCCAGCACCAGAAACCGUAAAUAAUUAUCACAUCCAUCGGGUCUUUCAUGUGUGGACGCGGCGUCUUCCUCCGAGCUGCUCCGCAGCAAUUUUGCGGCUUCUCCCUGCGUUUGGAACAAGCUCCCAGUUCAUCAAAGAAGGUGCCAACCCAGGGCUUCAGGAAGCGCCAAAGAGGGACCCCUGCAAGUCUGUGAUUAGAAUACAAGAGGGAGGAUCAAGGAGAUGAGACUGGAAGGACUGCUGGAUUCUCUUGCCCUCCACUAGCAGAUGUCCACCUGCGGUCACUCCCAGGGUCUCCAGCAGAGACGACACAGGACCCAGUGGCCUCACACCAUGCAGGCUGCCUUCAGGACCAUGUCCUGGGCCAGUGGCCCCACCUCCCCAGCACAGUAGAGCCCUCGGUGAGCUGGGCCCAGAGGCCAGAGGAAGAGGAGCCCUGUCCUCCUGUGAUUCCGGGGUCAGACCAGCCGGCUGAUCAACAACCGAGAGAGCGGCCCAGCCCCCCUGUUUUGACCAAAGGUGCCUGGAGCUCAGAUGGGGCUGGAAGUGGCCCCCAAGGGGUGGAGGGACAGGGAAAUACCAACAGGACUUGCUGUGGGGAAUCUGGGGUCCAGGCCUUCCCCCAGGGGUACAGGUGCAUUUUCCACUUACUGCCCCACCAAGCCAAGUGGGGUGCCCGCCCUGAGGGUUGCCCUUUUCCUCCAGCACGCUCCCCAUUCAACUGUCAGUGCACAGGUUCUGACCCCUUGCACUGGUGUCCUGAAGCCAUCCUGUUGCUUGUCUGUCCAUUCGAGAGGCCCCGCCUGGUUCCAGGCCACCAUCAGGGAGAGACCCCCAUGGAGAAGUCGUGGAGAUCCCCCAGCCAUCAUUAGCUCUCCCAGCUCCCCCCAUGCCCUGCCGCCUCCCCUCUCUGUGGAGCCUCACCCCAAGCCAGAGGCUCCCUGCCCCACUCCUGCUGUCUCCCUACUCUGGACCCCCCAUCUCAGUAGCCAGGUGACCCUUUAAAAAUGUCCAUCCAAAGCUUCCCAUGGCCGCCUCUGUCCCACAGCCCCCAUCUCGGUGCCCUCGGCUCCCUGACCAUGUGGACUCACGUCCAAGCCUCCUGCCCCCAAGUCGCCUUGCCCAGAACCUGCCCAGUCAGGGAGAAUUUGGGCAGCUGCUGCCAAGCGGCCCCCCAGUCCUCACCCUGCCACCCUCCCUGUCUGGCCUACUAGACCCUUUGUGGGGGUGGGGGUGCAGCGAUUGGCCGGUGACCGUUGGGGGCUCCUAGGCCCCUGGCUGGAAUCACAUGGCACCUUCAAAACCCAGAUGUCCCACUCCAACUGCUCACGAUGGCCAUUCCCGCUGAGGUCAGCCUGCACCCCUCCUUCUUCCUGACACGACAAGAGUCUGACACAGAGACCACCAGCCCAUCCAGGCACGCCCAGAAGCCGCCCCCCUCCUGGUCCCGCAGCCUGGCUCAUUCAGCCCUGUCUUCCCUUUGUCCAUCCACCCGGGCCUUCGUCAGCCAUGUGCAGCAAUGAGAAAGCGGUUCUCAUGACAACGGCCAGGGAGCCAGCUCUGAGGGGGAGUCACUGGGGAAAUCAGGUCUGUGGAGGCCUGAGCUGCAGACCAGGGGUGCAGGUGUGUGGGGACCCCACGGGUCUGAACAGAGCUGGCAGGCCAGGGUCACCAGGCAGCCUCAGAAAUGGAUCGCAGUCCUGGCCGCAGUUCUUGCUCACUGUGGGGCCCUGCACAGGUCAGCUCGCCACUCUGAGCCUCAGUUUCUUGAAAACAGGUAUUUGGGGGCCCCUUUUUAUAGGUUUGCAGGAGGGUUCUCAUUCCCAGUGAUGAUUGGGGCCAUUUUCAGAACCUCUACAGAUGCUGGGCACUUUAUGCCCUCUGGCCUUCAAAAAAGCCCUUUGUGAAAAGUGUAGCUUGCCCACGAUCCAGAGAAAGCGCAUCCCGGGGGGAAGAACCCACCAGGGCCACUAGGCCGCUGGGCAGUGGGGUCCAAGUGCAGGGCCCCUGGACUGUGUUCUUGUCCCCAGCUCCCUCCUGUUCCUGGCUGGACCCAGGCCAAGAGGCAGGGCUGAGGCCACACCCAGUCAGCCCGCAGGGUGCAGUUCCCCAGGGGGCACCGAGCUUGUAAUGCACCCAGGGCACUUAUGCACACGUGGGCUCCAGGCCCAGAUUGAUGAACAUUUGUCCCUGCAUCGAUGCGAAGGGAAAGCGACUUUGGUUUGGGGCUCGGAGUGCGUGUGUGGCAUGGGAACCAGACGUCCGUGCGCGGAGGACAGUACCAGCGCUCUGACUGUGCCCAGCGGCGCAAACACCUCUGUCUGCUACUGUGAAGAAGGUCUGAUCUCGUGGGUCCCCUGCAAGCAUCUUGGGGCCCCCUCGGGGUUCCACAGGCCACACUUCGAGAACUGGGGGGUGAGCUAUGCUCCAGGAGGGCAGUGAUUUUUGUUCUGGUCUCUUCCUGGAACAGAGCCCGGCACGGAGGAGGGGCUUGCUGAGCGAGUUCAUACCCCCUUUAUACACGGGGAAAUGCAGCCAGCACCUGGCGGUGCUGAGCGCAGGGCCGCACACCCGCCUGGACCCUGGCCUCUGGGCCCCUCAGGCAUUGGCCCUGCUGGCCCCCUGCGCCUGAAGCCCGGGGCCCCAGCGCCUCUGUCUCCCCACUGAGGCUCAGCUGCGAUAGCACCUCACGACAUCCCCCUGCAGCCUCCACCCGUCCCCCCAGCCAUCACCACGGGCCCGGGACGUCUGCUGACACAAGCACCGCACAUCUCCCAGCCCUGGGCACGAGCUCUGGGAGUGCGAGGGCUGUGUCCUGUCCACGAUGUGUCUAACCCAUGCCAACUCAGAGUAGGUGCUCAGUAAAUGCCCGCAGAAGGGCCGAGUCCACCACCGUGAAGCACUGAGCCUGAGGUCAGGGGGUGGCUGGUCCCCACAGACGGGGGUUCACACCCAGACGCAUGCACCCAACAUCGCGUCCUCAAGUCACUGGCAGUCGCUGCUGGCCACAGGGAGCCCACAUGGGGAGGAGGAACAGACAGGAGGGAAGAGAGGGAGCCCCGGCCGGCCCCUGCUCCUCCCUGGGGACCCACCAAGUGCCAGGCCCUCUGCAGGGGCCAGGGGCAAACCUCACAGAAACUGCUGCCAUCAAGGAGCCCGCCAGACCAGCGGUCGCAGUGAUGUCGGAGAGAAAGCCAGUUCUCCGCGACAAGGCCUGCCCACAGGAGAAACCAGCGUACCAGAGCCUCACCGACUCCAGCCGCCAGCAGCCAUCCUGUCACACUUGGGGGCCGGGGCAGCCAGAGAGGGGCACGUGCACUCACAGCCCAGGACACAGGCUUGCCAAGGGACUGAGCCCCGCCAGCGCUGGGCUCUGUGUGAGGGCCCCCUGUGUGCGCGCCCUCUCAGACUUACGACCACCAUGUGGGGGAGGGUGUCCCCUGGAGCAGAGGAAGCGGUGGCUCAGAGAGGUUCUGUAGCUGCCCCAAGCUCACACAGCCAGCAAGAGGGAGCCUUCAAAAGCCUCUCUGCCCAAAGCCCGCCAUCAGGCCGUGUUGGAACAGACAGCUCCCUUAGCCUGCCCCAGGCUGCACAUGCAGCAGACCGUCCCCGGAAACAGGGGGGUUGGGACGCUUAGACAUUUAAAUGCUGGCCGUGGCCAUGAGGCUCUCUCCCUUCGUUGGCUCCUCCUCCCUGCACAGCUCAUUCCAAGACUGACUCGCCUGGUCUCCUGGGAGCCACUCAUCCUGGGGCCCCACCUUGGCAGGACCCUGCUCCGGUCCUGGUAAAGCUGAGAGCACCAAGCUGACAUGACAUGGGGACAGCUCACCUCCAGAGCUACCAUCCUACUGUUCGUGGAAGAGGGGCAGACAGUCCCUGGAGGGAAGCGGGAGGCAGGAGGCAGGAGGCGGGGGGGCGUGGAGAAAUCAGCAGCACGCUCACGCUCGGGCCUACCAAAUGGACACUCCACAACUGAGACCGUGCCAUCUGCCCCCUGUGAUGGGACCACAAGUUUCUUGAGGAACUCGGUACCUUCACAGGGCAGCAGGAGGGAAUGCUGUGGACUGAAUGUGGCCAGGCAUUUGGGUGUCUGAAAAGCUGGGGGUCACGUCAGCCAUCAGCAAAGGAGCCCAUCCCAGCAACACGUUCCCAGAGGCCUAAAUCACCUCCCUGGGCCCACAGGACUGUCCUGCGUGCUCUAACCCACCAGCAGAGGUUGCUGAGGUCAUCAGUGUGUGCGUAAGGGCUGAGUCUAUGAACAUGAUCAAGGCUCAGUCCAUGGCUGGGAUCAGGGAUCAGGACACUGCCAGGAAUAAGACAAAGUCUAUAACCAGGGUCAAGGCUCAAUUAGUCCCCAGGAUCAGGGUUCAGUCUAUGACUAAAGUCAGGGCUCAGUCUACAACCGCAAUUAGAGUUCAGUGUUUGACUGGAAUCAGGGCUCAGUACGUGACCAGGAUAGGACUCAAUGUUCAACCAGGGACAGGGCUCAGCAUGUGACCAGGGUCAGAGGUCAGCGUGUGGCCAGGGUCGGGGCUCCACCCUUACUGAGAAUGAGGACGGGCUCAGUGGCGCCACACCGCGUCCUGCCAGGCUCCAUGUCUGUGUGACCGUCAGUGUAGUGUCAGCAAAGGGAAGAGCUCACAAAAUUGACUGUCACUCCUGACAGCAAACCACACUUGUUUUGCCUGAUUUUUUUCUCCCUUCCCCUACCCUCAGCCCAGCCAGGCGGCAGGGGAAGGUGUAAUUAAAAAUCAGGUUUGUUAACACGAACACGACGUACAUAAUAUUUAAAACAUCCAAGCGCCUUUAACUCGCUACCGACGUGCAUUUGCUCAUUAAGCAGGAAUUUUUUAUGGCAGCAACACUGCAAAUAGCUCUUAUUAAAAUGCUCAAAACGCCAUCUGGUCCUUAGCAGAGACUCUGAAGUGUCGCGGAGGUGGCCCAGCCUGCCUGGGGACUUGGAGAUUCCCAGCAGAGCAGCACAACCGGUUUCCCCACCCAGUGCCCCUGGGGUCCUCUCUGCACCUCACUGCACUUCAUGCCAGCGCACAGACACGGAGCCAGCGGCUGGGGCAGGAACGCACUUGCCCAGAUCACUGCAGCUACUGAGGAGACACGGGCACGUGAGCCUGCGUCUUUCUGGCCCGGAGGCCCAGGCCCUCUCCCGGGAGGAUGGGGUUUGAUGAGAGGCAAGGAGCCAGGGAAGCCUCGCCAAUCGAUGCGGCUGGGAUGGAGGGCAGGGGGCGGAGGAAGCCGGACUGGCACAGUCUGGAUGCAGGGACACCACGGCCUGGGGCCCAGCUCUGCGGAUGGGGCGGGGGUCCACUCUCUCACCAGGCCGUGGCCCUGGGAAUGCAUGGAAAGGG